CUAUAUAUAUUUUUGCUAGUGUACUAAACAGCAGAAGGUCUUCAGAGACCCCAUGCAAAUGUUUUGCCCCUUAAUCUCUUACAUUGUAAGGGGGCCCAGCCACAUCCAGGCCAUGACUUCUGUAUACCCCUCUGUUU